rnacentral:rRNA from 1 species
UACGAAGGGGGCUAGCGUUGCUCGGAAUCACGGGGCGUAAAGCGCACGUAGGCGGAUUGUUAAGUCAGGGGUGAAAUCCUGGAGCUCAACUCCAGAACUGCCUUUGAUACUGGCGAUCUUGAGUCCGGGAGAGGUGAGUGGAACUGCGAGUGUAGAGGUGAAAUUCGUAGAUAUUCGCAAGAACACCAGUGGCGAAGGCGGCUCACUGGCCCGGUACUGACGCUGAGGUGCGAAAGCGUGGGGAGCAAACAGGG